rnacentral:rRNA from 1 species
UACGAGUGCCCCGAGCGUUAUCCGGAAUCAUUGGGCGUAAAGGGUGUGUAGGUGGCAGUGUUAGUCAAACGUUUAAAUCCUGGGGCUUAACCCAGACCCUGCGUUUGAAACGCACAGCUAGAGGAUGCGAGGGAUGUAUGGAAUCAUGGAGUAGGGGUGAAAUCCGUUAUAUCAUGGGGAACACCAAAAGCGAAGGCAGUACAU